AUUCUCUUUCAACAGUAUAUAUGCUAAGACCGAAAUGACACAGAGAAGAUCAGCAUGGACUAUGCAUGCGAAUGACAGCAUAUUCACAAACAGUCUAUAUUUUU